rnacentral:lncRNA from 1 species
GAACCCUGUUGUUUGCGUUUUCUUUAGAUAAAACAAUAAUUGCGGGUUUAGAGUUUCUCAAUUGCAUACAUCGGCUGUUUCAGAUGUCUUGGAGUAUUUAGGGUUUUUCAAUCAACUUGAUGUCGUCGAGAAUCACCAGAAUUUUCAGGGUUUUGUGAGAAUUGCGAGUUUAAGGUUUUCCAAUCAUGGAAUUUGACGAUCAUCUGACGUGUUCUUGGUCUGCCGUAGAAUUAAUUAACAGGCAAGUUUCUUCCGUAAUGGUUUACGAUAAUCUUGUUCUUUUGGAAUUUGUUAAGUGAUCAGAUCUGCAGGGUUUGUAAACAAAUCUCAACUAUUUUCUCUUGUUUUUUCAGUCGUUUCCUUUGUUUUGAACUUGACUUCUAAACUUAUUUGAUUUUGUAGUUUUGUGAAUUUUCUUGUUUUGUAUGGUGUUUUAUAAUACUGAACUCACAUGUGAGAACUUGUGAUCCUGUUACAAGAACGCUUAAAAACCCAUUCCAAUUGAUAUGUACUUUGAGGCUUGUACUUUGCAGUUGAUUGGGCGUAUGUAUGUUGUGUUUGUAGCAGGUACUGCUUUCUCGAUGGAAGUUCUUUCUGUUGUUUUGACGUUUGUUAUUGUUCUAUACCUUCCUGAAUCUUUUUGAUUUUACGUUAUUUUUUUGCUAGCCGCGUUUGUUCAACACUCUCGUAUUAUUGAAGUUGUUUCACUUCUCAGAUGUUUUAAUGUUUCCAACACUCCCAUAUUGUUUUUGAUGUUUUCUGCUUGUUCUUAUUUUAGUUUUGAAUUUAAAUUCUAAACUUAUUUAAUUUUGAAGUUCUGUGAAGAUAUUGUUUUAUAUAUAAACUAUUGUACAUUUCGUGCUCUAUAUCGUGUUUUACAAGACUGAACUCACAUGUGAGAACUUGUGAUCCUGUUACAAGAACACCUAAAAACCCAUUUUAAUUGUUUUGUACAGAGUCUUGUACUUUGCAGUUGAUUGGGUAUACGUAGGUUGUGAUCGUAGCUUGUAUUGCUUUCUUGAUGGAAGUUCUUUCUGUUAUUUUCACGUUUGUUUUUUCUGUACUUCCCUGAAUCCGUUUGAUUUUAUGUUUUCCUUUUUUGGCACUCCCGUAUUGUUGAAUUUGUUUCACUUCUCAGUUAUUUCAAUGUUUUUAAAACUCACAUAUUAUUGUAAAUCUUUUCCUUUGUUUUUAACUUGACUUCUAAACUUAUUUGAUUUUGUAGUAUUAUGAAGGGGUUGUUUAAGUUACAAACUAUCGUAAUUUUCUUGUUUUAUAUGGUGUUUACAAGACUGAACUCACAUGUAAGAACUUGUGAUCCUGUUACAAGAACACCUAAAAACCCAUUCCAAUUGUUUUGUACUUUGAGGCUUGUACUUUGCAGUUGAUUGGGCGUACGUAGGUUGUGUUUGUAGCAUGGAUUGCUUUCUUAAUGGAGGUUCUUUCUGUUAUUUUUAGGUUUGUUUGUUCUAUACUUUCCUGAAUUCGUUUGAUUUUACGCUUUCUUUUUUUUGGCACUCCCGUAUUGUUGAAUUUGUUUCACUUCUCAGUUAUUUCAAUGUUUUUAAAACUCACAUAUUAUUGUAAAUCUUUUCCUUUGUUUUUAACUUGACUUCUAAACUUAUUUGAUUUUGUAGUAUUAUGAAGGGGUUGUUUAAGUUACAAACUAUCGUAAUUUUCUUGUUUUAUAUGGUGUUUACAAGACUGAACUCACAUGUAAGAACUUGUGAUCUUGUUACAAGAACACCUAAAAACCCAUUCCAAUUGUUUUGUACUUUGAGGCUUGUACUUUGCAGUUGAUUGGGCGUACGUAGGUUGUGUUUGUAGCAUGGAUUGCUUUCUUAAUGGAGGUUCUUUCUGUUAUUUUUAGGUUUGUUUGUUCUAUACUUUCCUGAAUUCGUUUGAUUUUACGCUUUCUUUUUUUUGGCACUCCCGUAUUGUUGAAUUUGUUUCACUUCUCAGUUAUUUCAAUGUUUUCAAAACUCCCAUAUUAUUGUAGAUGUUAUCUGUUGUUUUUAUUGUUUUUGAAUUUGAAUGUUAAACUUUUUUGAUUUUAUAGUUUUGUGAAGUACAAACUGUUCCUUUUAUUGUUGUUUUCACUUAGUUUUUAACAAGACUGAGCUCACUUUGAGAAAUAGCAACACUGUUACCGGAGCACCUAAAUCCCUAUUUUAACCUGUCACUGUACUUUGAGGCUUGUACUUUGCGGUUGAUUGGUGAUGAAGGUAGCUACUGUAACGUGAAUUGCUUUCUUGAUAAAGUUCUCUCUUUUGAUCUUUUUGAUGAUUUUUACUAUGUUACUAUCAUAUUUUUUUAUUUCUUUCUAAUGAGAUUUUUUUUAUAUAUUUUAAUAGCUUUAUGGUUUGACAAUUUUAUAUUGUAUUUUACAAGACUGAACUCACUUCGAGAAAUAGGAAUUCCAUUACCAGAGCACCUAAGAACCGAAUUCAACUUGUCUUUGUACUUUGAGGCUUGUACUUUGCGGUUGAUUGGGUGACGAAGGUUGCUAUUGUAACGUGAAUUGCUUUCUUGAUAAAGUUUUUUCUUAUGAUAUUUUUUUUUUAUGAUUUUGACUAUGUUUUAUAUAACUUUUAUUUCUUGGCGAUGAGAUUUUUUUUAUAUAUUGUAAUAGCUUUUUGGUUCAAUAGUUUUAUAUCAGUCUUUUCCUUUGUUUUUAACUUGACUUAUAAACUUAUUUGAUCUUGUAGUAUUAUGAAGGGGUUGUUUAUGUUACAAACUAUCGUAAUUUUCUUGUUUUAUAUGGUGUUUACAAGACUGAACUCACAUGUAAGAGCUUGUGAUCCUAUUACAAGAACACCUAAAAACCCAUUCCAAUUGUUUUGUACUUUGAGGCUUGUACUUUGCAGUUGAUUGGGCGUACGUAGGUUGUGUUUGUAGCUUGGAUUGCUUUCUUAUUGGAAGUUCUUUCUGUUAUUUUCAAGUUUGUUUGUUCUAUACUUUCCUGAAUUCGUUUGAUUUUACGUUUUCUUUUUUUGGCACUCCCGUAUUGUUGAAAUUGUUUCACUUCUCAGUUAUUUCAAUGUUUUCAAAACUCUCAUAUUAUUGUAGAUGUUAUCUGUUGUUUUUAUUGUUUUUGAAUUUGAAUGUUAAACUUGUUUGAUUUUAUAGUUUUGUGAAGUACAAACUGUUGUUCUUUUAUUGUUGUUUUUACUUGGUUUUUAACAAGACUGAGCUCACUUCGAGAAAUAGCAACACUGUUACCGGAGCGCCUAAAACCCCAUUUUAACCUGUCAUCGUACUUUAAGGCUUGUACUUUGCGGUUGAUUGGUGACGAAGGUAGCUACUGUAAAGUGAAUUGCUCUCUUGAUAAAGUUCUCUCUUUUGAUCUUUUUGAUGAUUUUUACUUUGUUACUAUCAUAUUUUUUUAUUUAUUUAUUGGUAAUGAGAUUUUUUUACAUAUUUUAAUAGCUUUAUAGUUUGACAUUUUUAUAUUGUAUUUUACAAGACUAAACUCACUUCGAGAAAUAGGAAUUCCAUUACCAGAGCACCUAAGAACCGAAUUCAACUUGUCUUUGUACUUUGAGGCUUGUACUUUGCGGUUGGUUGGGUGACGAAGGUUGCUAUUGUAACGUGAAUUGCUUUCUUGAUAAAGUUUUUUCUUUUGAUAUAUUUUUUUUUUUAUGAUUUUGACUAUGUUUUAUAUAACUUUUAUUUCUUGGUGAUGCAAUUUUUCUUAAUAUAAUGUAAUAACUUGACUUCUAAACUUAUCUGAUUUUGUAGUAUUACGAAGGGGUUGUUUAAGUUAUAAACUAUGGUAAUUUUCUUGUUUUAUAUGGUGUUUUACAACACUAAACUCACAUGUUAGAACUUGUGACCCUGUUACAAGAACACUUAAAAACCCAUCCCAAUUGUUUUGUACUUUGAGGCUUGUACUUUGCAGUUGAUUGGGCGUACGUAGGUUGUGUUUGUAGCAUGGAUUGCUUUCUUAAUGGAAGUUCUUCCUCUGUUAUUUUCAACUUUUUUUUUAUGGUAAUGAGAAACUUUAGAUGUAAUUUAUGUUUAUUUUUGUUUGAAACUUCUUUGAAUCUCUUUGAUUUUACGUUUUCUUCUUAGCUACAUGGUUUAAUGUUCGUACUGAGAAAUUGUUUCAUGGAGAAAUUGUUUUAAUGUUUUCACCCUCCCAUAUUAUUGGAGAUGUUUUAUAUACUUAAUUUUGUAUGUGUUUUGUUACUUUUCAAUAAUGAUGCUAUGGUUUGACAGUUUUUUAUAGUAUUUUACAAGACUAAAUUGGCAUUCGAGAAAUAGGAAUGCCGUUACUAGCGCACCUAAAAACCCAAUUGAACUUGUCUUGGUACUUUGUGGCUUGUACUUUGCGGUUGAUUGGGCGACGAAGGUUGCCACUGUAACGUGAAUUGCCUUCUUGAUAAAGUUCAUCCUGUUGAUAUUCUAUUUUUUGUUGAUUUUGACUAUGUUACCAUCAUAAUUUUUAUUUUAUAUAGUUUAAUAACUUUGUGGGUUAAAAAUUUUCUAUGGUUUUUACAAGACUGAGUUCACUUCGAGAAAUAGGAAUGGUGUUUCCAGAGCACCUAAGAACCCAAUUCGACUUGUCUUUGUACUUUGAGGCUUGUACUUUGCAGUUGAUUGGAUGACGAAGGUUGCUAGUGUAACAUAAAUUUCUUUCUUGAUGAAGUUCUUUCUUUUGAUAUUCUAUUUUUUUUAUGAUUUUGACUAUGUCAUUUAUAUAACUUUUAUUUCUUGGUGAUGAGAUUUUUUUUAUACAACAUAAUAGCCUUGUGGUUUGAUAGUUUUAUAUGGUAUUUUACAAAAUUGAACUCAUAUUCAAGAGCUACGCAUGCAUUACUAGAGUAUCUUAGAACCCAUCUCAACUUGUCUUUGUACUUUGAGGCUUGUACUUUGCGGUUGAAUGGGUGACAAAGGUUGCUACUGUGGUGUGAAUUGCUUUCUUGAUAAAGUUCUUUUCGUUGAACUUCUAUUUUUGAUUGUUAUAUUCAUAACUCAUAUUUCUUAGUAAGGAUAUUUUUUUUUUAAUAUAAUGCAUUAGCUCUUUUGCCUGACAGUUUUAUAUGCUAUUUUACAAGACUGAACUCACAUUCGAGAAAUUGUAAUCCCGUUACUAAAGCACCUAAAAGCCCAUUUCAGUUUGUUUUUGUACUUUGAGGCUUGUACUUUGCGGUUGACUGGGUGAUGAAGGUUGUUAUUGUAGCGUGGAUUGCUUUCUUGGUGAAGUUCUUUCUGUUGAUAUUCUGUUUUUAAUGAGAUUCUUUCAUAUAGUUUAAAUAGCUUUGUGGUUUGACAAUUUUAUAUGGUAUACUAUAAGAUUAAACUCACAUUUGAGAAAUAGGAAUGCUGUUACUAGAGCUACCUAUAUAAUAUCGGCUAAGACUAUAAACCCAUUUCAACCAUUUUUGAUGAUUUUAACUAUGUUAUUUUCAUAACUUUUAUUUCUUGGUAUUGAGAUUUUUUUUAGAUAUAUUGUAAUAGAUUUGUGGUUUGACAGUUUUUAUAAUAUUCACAAAAGUGAACUCACACCUGAGAACUAGGCCUGCUGUUACUAAAGCACCUAAGAACACAUUUCAACCUGUCUUUGUAUAAAACUUGCAGCUUUUAUGUUUUUAACUUUUUCUGCUGUUUUUAUUCUUUUUUGAAGAUACGAACGAUUGUACUUCUAUUGUUGUUUUUACUUGUUUUUUUUUUCUGGGGGAUAUGAAUAGCAAAUCAAGAUGGAACACUUCUUACUCAAAUUAAGAGAUGCUUCUGAAGCAGAAACAAGUCAUCGAAUGCCCUUCCAUAUGAUACAUCUGGUCAAACCUUAUGGCAUUUGAGAAACCAUAAGGAGCCCCACCUCAGCUGUUGGCAGAUUUUCUAACGCCUUGAAGUUUAUCGUCGAAGAGUCCUCAGCCCCCUGGAGCUUAACGGAAACUGAAACAGAUUAUGCAAUAAUGCUAUGACGCACAUAUUCGACAAACUUGUCUCGAAGUACAGUACUGGGGCAGUUACUGACUUACUGGAUAUGUCAUAUAGUUGUCAUAGAUGCUUUUAAAGCGGAAGAAUUUGCUGAGGUGGCAACGAAGCCUCUGAAAGCCCUUCCAUAUGACACACCUGGUUGAAGUUUAUGGCAUUUGAGUACCCCAUAAGGGGUCCCAGCUCGCUCAUCUGUUGGCAGAUUUUUGACAUGUUGAAGUUUAUCGUCAAAGAGGGGUGACAAGUGUAAUACAAAGAUGCUGUUAGUGGAUUAUAUAGAUGCUGCAUGUGCAAAUUUGAUGAAGUUCAACGCGUGAACUUUUUCCCGAGUGAAGUUUCACGCGUGGAACUUAAUGGUGGCGGCGGUGUUCCGAUGCUCAUCACUCGUGAUGGAACCUCCAUCAAGGACCACCCCCAGUCCCCUUAUUAGUUAAACAAUGUAAAAGAAGGUUGUGAAUGUAUGAGAUUGCUUUGACAAUUUGAAACUUUCCUUUUUUAUGUACUCGUUAAACCUUUUCUUUAUUAAGAAGAUUCAGUUUCUCUU